rnacentral:rRNA from 1 species
UACGUAGGGAGCAAGCGUUGUUCGGAUUUACUGGGCGUAAAGCGCGUGUAGGCGGUUCUGUAAGUCCGCUGUGAAAGCCGGGGGCUCAACCCUCGAAAGCCGGUGGAUACUGUCGGACUAGAGUUCGGAAGAGGCGAGUGGAAUUCCUGGUGUAGCGGUGAAAUUCGCAGAUAUCAGGAGGAACACCGGUGGCGAAGGCGGGUCUCUGGGCCGUAACUGACGCUGAGGAGCGAAAGCAUGGGGAGCGAACAGG